AUCUACAGUCACAUCACCCUAAAUUCAUGAAGCUAAGCAGGGUCGGAUCAGGUAAGUACGCGGAUGGAAGACCACCUGGAAAUCCUGGGAGCUGUAGGCU
ensembl:rRNA 5S_rRNA 5S ribosomal RNA